UACGUAGGGUGCGAGCGUUAAUCGGAAUUACUGGGCGUAAAGCGUGCGCAGGCGGUCUGUUAAGACCGAUGUGAAAUCCCCGGGCUUAACCUGGGAACUGCAUUGGUGACUGGCAGGCUUUGAGUGUGGCAGAGGGAGGUAGAAUUCCACGUGUAGCAGUGAAAUGCGUAGAGAUGUGGAGGAAUACCGAUGGCGAAGGCGGCUCUCUGGACCUAUACUGACGCUGAGGCGCGAAAGCGUGGGGAGCAAACAGG
rnacentral:rRNA from 1 species